GCCUUCGAGAUGUAGUGGUCAGCACGCUCGACGCGUAACCGAGAGGUCCGUGGUUCGAUUCUCGGCGAAAGCG
rfam:Stegodyphus mimosarum contig80329, whole genome shotgun sequence.